GUCGAGCGAACGGACGAGAAGCUUGCUUUGCUGAUGUUAGCGGCGGACGGGUGAGUAACACGUGGAUAACCUACCUAUAAGACUGGGAUAACUUCGGGAAACCGGAGCUAAUACCGGAUAAUAUUUUGAACCGCAUGGUUCAAAAGUGAAAGACGGUCUUGCUGUCACUUAUAGAUGGAUCCGCGCUGCAUUAGCUAGUUGGUAAGGUAACGGCUUACCAAGGCAACGAUGCAUAGCCGACCUGAGAGGGUGAUCGGCCACACUGGAACUGAGACACGGUCCAGACUCCUACGGGAGGCAGCAGUAGGGAAUCUUCCGCAAUGGGCGAAAGCCUGACGGAGCAACGCCGCGUGAGUGACGAAGGUCUUCGGAUCGUAAAACUCUGUUAUUAGGGAAGAACAUAUGUGUAAGUAACUGUGCACAUCUUGACGGUACCUAAUCAGAAAGCCACGGCUAACUACGUGCCAGCAGCCGCGGUAAUACGUAGGUGGCAAGCGUUAUCCGGAAUUAUUGGGCGUAAAGCGCGCGUAGGCGGUUUUUUAAGUCUGAUGUGAAAGCCCACGGCUCAACCGUGGAGGGUCAUUGGAAACUGGAAAACUUGAGUGCAGAAGAGGAAAGUGGAAUUCCAUGUGUAGCGGUGAAAUGCGCAGAGAUAUGGAGGAACACCAGUGGCGAAGGCGACUUUCUGGUUCUGUAACUGACGCUGAUGUGCGAAAGC
rnacentral:rRNA from 1 species